GUGGGGCCGGCGCGGCCCCGUGAGGGGCUCCAGCGCCCGGCGCGGGGGAGCCGCGGCGGGCUGGGCGGGGAGGCAGGUGGAACCCGGCGCUGUCACUUCGAGAAGCCGCGGCUCUGACGGGUUUUGAGCCGUAAAAAGCCAGCGGGCGAGCUGGGUUCAAGCUGGGACCCGCCGCUUUUACCUCUUGUUCCUUGGCCGGCAUAAGAUGGGGCACAAAGCGACCUGAUACCGCAAGGAAAAAAACUUCUUCUCUGCUCGCUUUCCUGUUUCCCGUAAGUGGAAGGAAGAAUGCACGAAAAGAAAUGAAUUAGCCGCAGUUUGUAACGGCUCAGGACUGUGCUCAGGGAGACGAGGUGCAGCGUUGCAGCCUUCCAGGAGGAUGGUGGUACUCUUCAGGUCUCUCCCGACUGCCGAGGAGGGACAGUGAAGCACUUAAUGGAAGAUACAAACUGCCUGAAGGCAAGAUGGAUGGCUGUCUACAGCAGCAGUCAGGGUAGGAAUUGAGUCUUUUGUCUUUGGCUGGAUUGCACAAAUAAAUACAUGCUUUGAAUACUUUUUCCACCCGUGGUCUGAGUACAGUGCUGCUACUGAGCUGCAGUGAAGAUUGGGACCAGCAGAAAAUAUGCAGGAAAACAAAGCUUUUUAAAGGGUUGGGGAAGCUAGUUUUGUAGACACCAAGGGAAAGGGCUUUAAAUCAUGGCAGGUUUUAAAUUUGUGAAUGUGGGUGUGGAGUUAAAUAGCUGGGUGCAGGAGAAUUGCCAAGGGAGCAGUCUGUAAUGAAAAGAUGAGAUGGAUGUGUGCCUUAAAUGGAGUCAAUGAAAUAAGAAAUGUACUGAAUGUUUUCUGAAGUCCUUUUUAAGUUACUUCUGUUGGUAAUGGCAACAGUUAUGCCCCCAUGCAGUUUGCACAAUAAUGGCAAAUAUAGGGAGUUACCAGGGUUCAGUGAAUGUGUGUUAACAUGGGAUAUUAAUUUAGUUUGCAUCUUUUAUCUCACAUUAAAUGCUGUGAUUAAAUUAAAAGGAUUUAAUUGAGAUGCAUAA